UUCCUGAGUUUGUGAUCGGAAAGGGCGUAUCGUUAUCACAAAGGAGCAAUGCACAAUGGCAUUAACUGUCGAGCAGAAGGCAAAGAUCGUUUCUGAGUUUGGUCGUGGCGC
rnacentral:ncRNA from 1 species